ensembl:misc_RNA 7SK 7SK RNA
AGAUGUAUGCAUGGUCUGACUGUGACAUCUGUCACCCAUUUAUUGCCAGGUUGGAUUUGGCUGAUCUGGCUGGCUUGGUGGGUGUCCUCAUCCUUCCUGACCAUUCAAGAUGCAUCCCUCACAGCUGCACAUCCUGUCAAAGAGGAAGAUCUUCCCCAGUAGGGAAGGACCAUUUUCUCUAUCCAGUGCAUACUUUAAAAGUAGCUAUACUCUCUUGCUACAAACUUCAAACAAGUUCUUUUAAAAAGUCAAACCCUCACAGGGGUCCAGGAUUUAACUCAGCAGCACACGCCCUCGCCUGGCAAACACGAGGUUCUGAGUUCGA